UACAUAGGCUCCAAGCGUUGUUCGGAAUUACUGGGCGUAAAGCGAGUGUAGGCUGUUGGAUAAGUCGAUUGUGAAAUCUCCCGGCUCAACCGGGAGGGUGCGGUCGAAACUGUUCAACUCGAGUCCGAGAGGGGAGAGUGGAAUUCCUGGUGUAGCGGUGAAAUGCGUAGAUAUCAGGAGGAACACCGGUGGUGAAGACGGCUCUCUGGAUCGUGACUGACGCUGAGACUCGAAAGCGUGGGGAGCAAACAGG
rnacentral:misc_RNA from 1 species